UGAUCAUUGAUCUUAGAGGGUGACCCAAGCCUGGACUGGCAUGAGCGUCUGUGUGUGAUUGGAUGGAUUUUUGAGAAAGAGGAAUUCGCCUGAUUUCAGAAGACCACUCUGUGAACAGCUGUGUAUCAGGAUGUCUCUCUAUGGGGGUGUGGGCCGCAGACAGGGCUGAGGAAAUGAGAACACUACCUGGGCCAGAUCUCACCUGUGUCCAGGCCUGACACCUCUCCACAGGACUCUCUGCCUUUCCUCCCACGUUCUGUCCAUCCUGCUCUGCUACGAGCCACACACACACACAUACACACCUUUGCUCUCUGCUCUUGAGUGCAUGGU